rnacentral:lncRNA from 1 species
AUCCCCGUCUCACUCCCUCUUACUUUAGGGAACCGGACGGCACCGCUCCCACCCUACCCCAGGCUAAGGUUCCAGAAGGCGAGCUGGCACCACCAAGCCUUCCUGGAGUGGAACUUUUGCUCAGUUCUUGGCUGGAGGGAUGCAGUACGACUUUCCUUCACUUGUUUUCAGGGACUCUUAACUGUGAGUGAAAUCAACUUACUUUCUGAUUUUUUUUUACUUCUCAUACUGUUUUGACUGUUCUUAUCUGUGCUUUUCCCCUCUCCCUUCCUUUCCCUUCCCCCU